rnacentral:lncRNA from 1 species
AUUUGGUGGGUCUCACCCUUGAGGUGGAUCAGCUUUAAGAAGAGUGACAGGUCACUAGAGGAUUUCUUUACUACUUGGGGCUUUCCGAGAAGCGUCUGUGCUUCGGUAGUUUUGGUCUUAUAAAAGUUUCCCACCUGCAGUAGAGUUUAUAAUUACUUAAGAGCUUUUUAUAAAUGAACUCGAUUUCCUUUGCACUCAGGAUAAUUUACAGAGUCAUCAGUCACUUCACUGCAGCUGGGAGCUUCACACGAACCCUGCAAACACACUUUGAAAAUGAAACCGAGUGUAAGUGGGAGCAAGGAAGCAUGCCUUUGAGGGAAAUAGAAAUGACUGUCCAGCAAAUGGUGCCUCCUGUGUAUCUGCUGAUAGGUAGAAACCCUUGACAGUUUUUGGAAAAAGGAAAAUCUUAAAUCAUUCACCAAGAUUAUGUGCAUCUCAUAAAUGAACUGAUAAAGAUUCCAGCUGAAAAGGAUCAUUCCGGUCUAAACCUCAUUAAAACACCCCUAGAUGAUUUAUUUAACAUAAAAGCACUGGAAGGCAUGCCUUUCUGCCCUCCCUUCUCCCCUCUUCCACCCCUUAACAUGUUACCAACAUUAUUUCUGCUUGCGAAUUUUUUGGUCGGCAUGGAUGGCACCUCAAAUCACAUAAGUUAAACUAAAUCACAUACAGGGCAAACAAAAACGACUGCACUUCCCAAUUUCAAGGACGUGACUUGAACGUGAACUAGACAUUUGUCUUCCUAAAACCCAGGAAACCUGAAGAUUCUAGAAGGAAUCCAAAGGUACCCUCCCCCCCCAGUGGUCUCCUUCCUUUGAUGUAAUCCCUGGCACGUGUCUCUGACCUCCAUUUCUGUUAGAACUUUGCUCCUUAGCCUCAGGGCUCUGUACCUGCCUCUGCUCCAUGACUUUAUAUCCGUGAUUGCCCUUGGGAAGGAGAAUCUUCUUUCAAAAUUGCACCUGGGCAUUUUAAAGUAAAAAUGAUGCAAAUGCUUAAGUUGGCCGAGGAAUUAACUUCGGAGUGAAGAAUGACUAGGUAAGGCUGGGAGAGGGUGGGGGCUAGGAGGGGAAAAAAAACCCCCCCCACCGACACAUGACGCCCAGUGGCAGAGGGAUGGCCGGCGGGGCGCGGGGGGCGGGGCACCAAGUGCGAAACCAGAGUCAACACCUGGAGCCAGCUGGCUGUGAGGUCCCUGGUCUCAGCCCCGUGAAAAAGCACACAUCAUCCUUUUUUCCUGACGCGUGCUUGAAUCCGUCUCAGUGGGGUCUCUCUUGUGUGACAGGGCAAAUUGUGAAAAAUGGGGAUAAGAGUUCCCCUUGUGGUUCAGCUGGUUACCAACCCGGCUACCAAUCCAUGAGGCCGGGGGUUCGAUCCCUGGCCUUGCUCACUGGGUUAAAGGACUUGGCGUUGCCACAAGCUGUGGUGUAAGGCGCAGAUGGGGCUCAGAUCUGGCCUUGCUGUGGCAGGGGGGGGUGCUCCUAUUUGAUCCCUAGCCUGGGAACUUCCAUAUGUGGCAGGUGCUGCCCUUAAAAAAAAGAAAAAAAAGAAAAAUGGGGAUAAAUCAUUUUUAACAAAUUGCCACUUCUUUUGUUUUUUCCUUUCCUGAGAGUCAAUUUCUCAUUUUAAAUAAUUGCCACUUCUUUUGUUUUUCCUUCCCUGAGAGUCAAUUUCUGGGUGGGCUUGAAUGUUCCAUAGCCUGAUAUUAGAGGCUCAUGGUAGCCCAUGGUCAGCUCUUUCCUAGAGAAACAGUUCAACUCUUAGGGUGUCAAAAAGGCAGCUCCUUGUGUUAGCAUCUGUUACCUGAUUGACCUACCUUGCAAGGCAGUUUGGGUUUGUAGAGGCUUGAAAACAAUAUGCUCUUAUAUUUCUGUUGUGUUUGACUAGCUAAUGUCUCUUAGCAUGGAUGAAUGUGGGGGGAGAACACUUAGACUGCUUUUCAUACAGGACUAACUUGCUCUCAGAAUGAGAUUAUCCACUGUAAAAUAUAUACUCUUUUCGGGUUGUAAGACUAGAAACAUUUUGCAGCCGAGUUUCUUUUUGCCCUGACUUCAGCCAGCAGCUGGCUGGUAACCUUGCUGGGGACAUGUUCUUCCAGAGGACUGGUCCUGCCUGGGAGGCCUCAGGCCCUGGGAUGUUCUCAGGGCCUCUGAAAUCUACCUGCAAGUCAGCCGGUGUAAAUAAUUCGAUAAUUACAUUAUUUAUGGCUCUGGCAUUUACGCAUUCUAUGACCUAGGAGCUUGCCUUAUUUAUUUAUUUAUUUAUUUAUUUAUUUAUUUAUUUAUUUUUUACAGCUCAACUUGGCAGCACAUGGAAGUUCCUGGGCCAGGGGUCGAAUCUGAGCUGCAGUUAAGGCCUAUGCCCCAGCCAUGGCAACAUCAGAUCUGAGCCACAUCUGUGACUUACACCACAGCUUGCAUCAACCCUAGGUUCUUAACCCACUGAUUGAGGCCAGGGAUUGAAACCACAUCCUUGUGGAGACUAUGUAGGGGUCCUUAACCCAUUGAGCCACAAUGGAAACUCCACAGAGGGGCUCUUUUAAUGUAUAUGAUAUGAAUUCUUUUACAUGCCUAGUUAAACUCAUAGCAUUUUUUAAAAAUCACCUGAUAAUAAAAAGGUAAAUAGGGAGUUCCCGUUGUGGCUUAGUUGCAAACCCGACUAGUAUCUAUGAGGAUGUGGGUUCAAUCCCUAGCCUCGAUCAGUGGGUGAAAGGAUCCGUCAUUGCUGUGAGCUGUGGUGUAGACCUGCAGCUACAGCUCUGAUUUGACCUCUAGCCUGGGAACUUCCAUAUGCUGCAAGUAUGGCCCUAAGAAAAAGCAAAAAAAAAAAAAAAAAAAAAAGAUAAUCAGUACCAUAAUGUGUGGGACGGGGUGGUGACUCCGGCUCAAGACAUGGGAUUUGGUGCUGGGCAGGACAGACCCAAGGAGAUGGCAGUAGUAUGCUGCCAAGAAAAGUGUUCUCCAGAAAUUUCCACUUAUUAACUUUGGUCACUGUUUGUUUGGCACUCCCAAUGAACACUAUGAAACUACUUUUCAUUCUUCCAUAAUGGGUAUAACUUCCCAUCAUCAACUUCUUUUUCUUUUUCUUUUUUUUGUCUUUUUGCCUUUUCUAGGGCCACUCUGAGGCAUAUGGAGGUUCCCAGGCUAGGGGUCCAAUCGGAGCUACAGCUGCCAGCCUACACCACAGCCACAGCAGUGCCAGAUCUGAGCCUUGUCUGUGACCUACACCACAGCUCAGGGCAACGCCGGAUCUUUAACCCACUGAGCACAGCCAGGGAUCGAACUUGAAACCUCAUGGUUCCUAUUCGGAUUUGUUUCCACUGCUCCAUGGUGGGAACCCCUCAACUUCUUAUUUAAAAGUAUUUAUUUUAUGGAACAUUGAAAAGGAGGUAAUUUACACAUGUGUGAUUUAUUAGGCCUUUGUGGGAUGUUCUAACUGAAAACCUAUGAAUGAGGCCAAAAGACAGGAGUCUUGGGAGGGGUGGGGGCUUUAUUUAAUUAAUUUAAACAUUUUAAUUGGUCUGUGUUGCUUUUCUUGUUACCUUUUAGAAGGAGAAAAAGUCAGUUUUAAAACUAGAGUUGGGUUAUUACACGUAUUUGUUUCCGCACAUAUUAUCUAGAUGAUUAUUUCGUCCUAGGCACCAUGCCACCUGGAGAAAUAGUGCUCUUAUUCUUGGGAGGUUCACCUUUUGAAAGGGCAGACACUUGUGAAAGAUGAGGCGAUAUCAAGAGUGUUAUUUCCCAAGGGCCGAGGGUGUGCCAGAUUCUGGACCAGGUCCAUCCUGUGAAUGAUCUCAUUUCCUCCUCACACAAGCCAAGGGAGAGGUCCUGUUGUGACCCUGAUUUUACAGAUGAGGCAGUUGAAGCACAGAGACUUUAAGUAACUUGUCCAGGCUUGCACAGCAGGUAGGUGGCAAGGCUUGCAUCUGAAGCCAGGCAGUUGAAUCCCAAAAUGCAUGUUCGCAACUGCCCCGUCACUAAACCACACUGUGAAUGGAGCAUAGAGAAGAACUGAGGCUUCUGUCUGCGAGCAUCUAGGGCGUGUUCAAAGAGGAGUUGAUGUUUAGCUCAACUAGGAAGGAUUAGGGGGCCCGUGUUGGAUAAAUACGUGAGAUGACUUCUUCUGCGAAUGGCAGGAGAAGAAAAGUAUCACAGGGUCUUUUAUUCGCACCUAGAGAUACAUCGCAUUUUAGAGGACCCUCGUUAUUUUUCAUCUUCUUGAUGUCACUCCAGGGUCACGUGGUUAAUGUUGGUGAGGAUGGCACUCCUGUCUCACAGAGCAAGAUGUUGCUUCUCAUAUGCAUCAUUCCAGGCCUAAAGUAAACAUUUAACACUAAAAAGAAUAAAAAAUUCAACACCAAAAAGAAUAUUCAGUGAGUAUCAUGGUGCAGUGGAAACAAAUCCAACUAGGAACUAUGAGGUUGUGGGUUCGAUCCCUGACCUCACUCAGAGGGUUAAGGAUCUGGUGUUGCCGUGAGCUGUGGUGUUGGCUGGCAGCUGUAGCACUCAUUAGACCCCUAGCCUGGGAACCUCCAUAUGCUGCUGGUGCGGCACUAAAAAGCAAAAAAAAGAAAGAAAAAAAAA